rnacentral:ncRNA from 1 species
CCUGGGCUGCCAUUUCACGAUCAGACAGGCCACCGCAAAUCUGGAUAAUACGGUCAGACAGCGUCGACUUACCGUGGUCAAUGUGAGCAAUGAUCGAAAAGUUACGUAUGUUCUUCAUAUAGUUAAAUAAUUAUGCCUUACGAAUUCCUGGAGGCCGCUGUUCUUAGCCUGACGUUUUUCAGUGCGAAAACGCAGCAUUCUACACUACAUCCUCGUCAGCUGGAAAUGCACUUAGAGCCAGGUAUAGCGCGAAGAGACGGCGUUUUCUUUAUUGCGAUGUAAAUAAUAAUAAAGCCCGGCAGAUUACCGGGCCUCAGAAGAGAGCGUCUCAACACGAAGUUGGUCGGGUGCCAGUGCAACGCUGAGGAUAACGGGCUGCCACGCUUCCCGGGCGGCAAGCCUUGGGGAAACGCCUUUAGCAAGCCAGAACCCGCCCACGCCGCCCAAAGCGGCCCCGCACAUGGCGGCCAAAUCUGUGCCGAACAGCAUCUGGAAAACCCCGCCCAUCACGAACAGACCUGCCAGCGGAGAAAGGUAAACCAGCAUGGCGGAAGUGAGCAGGCUACCUUCAGCGAUGCCCAGCUCCACUUUUUGCCCUGCCACCAGCGGCUGAUCGCUCGGCACAGCAAUAGUGUGCGACGUUUGCGGCCCCAGCUUAUUCAACACGCGGCUGCCGCAACCGGCUCGCGAAGCGCAGCUGCUGCAUGAUGCUUUAACGUCACAGCUGACAAGCGCUACGCCAUCCUGCCAGGAUACGACCGUGGCCCACUCUUUAAUCAUUGCGCAGCCCUGAAUUUAAUGCUGUCUGAAAUACG